rnacentral:misc_RNA from 1 species
UUUCUUUCCAUAUACGCAUAGACAGUUCAAAUAGCCGCACACUAAUUUAAUCUACGAGUUUGGCAUUGAAGUUCAAGUCAAAUUGGAACUGGUCCAGAAAUCAUUCUAACAUGCGUUAAAUCAUUCUAAACGUUUCCUUGAUUAUAUUAUUCGAAUCUUACCGUCAGAGAUAUCAAUAGAGAGAACAGGAAAGCUUUAUCCAUCUUGGACAAUAUUUUUCUUCCGGUUCACGCUCCACGUAUCAUCUUCUUUUCCACGUAACCUUCUUUUCGUUAAUUUUCUUCGUAACGAGUUUCGAAAUGAUUUCGCGAACAAUUCUUUGUCAUUUUUCGAUUACACCAAUAGUUUUGCACCACACUACGGUAUUUCGAUUCAGUUUUUGUUUCUUCGAAUGUCAUCGAAAUCACAGUAAUCACAGUAAUUACGCUUCACUCGUACACGCUUUUGUUCGUUUGCACCAUCCAACCGUUUAUUACGAUAAUUUACAAGAUGUACUUUUUCUUUCGUUCUGUUUUCAUCUGCAUCGAAUUGUUUCUUAGUCGAGCGAAUUUAUACAAACAGAUGAAGAAUAAAAAUUUCGUCCAGGAUUUAAACCAAUUUUAACCACUUAAUUAUUUCAUAUCCGUGUUCUUUAUUUUCAUACGACACUCUUUCAAAUUAUUCCCGCCGAAAAGUUCACAAAAAAUUUAACGACGUGCAGUACGAUAUACGGAGUUCACGAUGCGCACUGAUCGGUUGCUCGAUCUUUGAGAAAAUGUGAAGCUGCAGCCACGGUAGCGUGUCGCAUGUUACAGAAUACCGAGAGACGAGUUUCUCUGUCGUGCUUUACAGAGGUGUCGUGC